rnacentral:rRNA from 1 species
AGAGUUUGAUCCUGGCUCAGGACGAACGCUGGCGGCGUGCCUAACACAUGCAAGUCGAGCGGAGACAGUGAGUAGCUUGCUAUGAGCUGUUUUAGCGGCGGACGGGUGAGUAACGCGUGAGCAACCUUUCCCAGACAGGGGAAUAACACACCGAAAGGUGUACUAAUACCGCAUAAGACCACGGGAUCACAUGGUUCUGAGGUAAAAGAUUUAUCGGUUUGGGGUGGGCUCGCGUCCGAUUAGGUAGUUGGUGAGGUAACGGCCCACCAAGCCGACGAUCGGUAGCCGACCUGAGAGGGUGAUCGGCCACAUUGGGACUGAGACACGGCCCAAACUCCUACGGGAGGCAGCAGUGGGGAAUAUUGGGCAAUGGGGGAAACCCUGACCCAGCAACGCCGCGUGGAGGAAGAAGGUUUUCGGAUCGUAAACUCCUGUCCUUGGAGACGAGUAGAAGACGGUAUCCAAGGAGGAAGCCCCGGCUAACUACGUGCCAGCAGCCGCGGUAAUACGUAGGGGGCAAGCGUUGUCCGGAAUAAUUGGGCGUAAAGGGCGCGUAGGCGGCUCGGUAAGUCUGGAGUGAAAGUCCUGCUUUUAAGGUGGGAAUUGCUUUGGAUACUGUCGGGCUUGAGUGCAGGAGAGGUUAGUGGAAUUCCCAGUGUAGCGGUGAAAUGCGUAGAGAUUGGGAGGAACACCAGUGGCGAAGGCGACUAACUGGACUGUAACUGACGCUGAGGCGCGAAAGUGUGGGGAGCAAACAGGAUUAGAUACCCUGGUAGUCCACACUGUAAACG